GGAAGACUCAAAAAAAAAAGUAUCAAAAGGUAUCACCAGUCGGUAGUGGCUUAUGCCUUUAAUCCCAGCACUCUGGAGGCAGAGGCAGGAGAUCUCUGUGAGUUCAAGGUCAGCCUGGUCUAUAGAGUGAGUUCUAGGACAGGCUCCAAAGCUACAGAAAAACUCUGUCUGGAAAAACUGAAAGGAAAAAAAAAAACACCCCCAAAAACCACCCACCAAGUCAUUCUGGUGGGAUGAAAUGUAGAAAGAAUUUAUCUACCUCUGCACUGGGGAUGAAGCAUGCCAUGGCCCCUGAGGGCUAACAGUCAGAUUUUCUCCUGAAUAUAGAGUGGCUGUCUGAGUCAGUGUGUGCUGUCUUUGUUCAGUCAUCAGAAUAGUCCCCACACCAUUUCCAGCCCUGUUGAGUGACAAGGAAACAGGUCAUGGUGAAGCUCUUCUGGUCUUAUGGGUCUUUUCUCUAAUCUGCUCAGCUGACCUCACAUGGAGAGCACAAUGCUCAGAGGAACCCAGUUCUGGGCAUUGCUCUGGCUCCAUGGAGCCUCUGAGAAAUCACCUGAAGAGCAGACUGGCUGCUCCUUGUGAUGAUACACCUUUAAGUCCAGAACUCUGAAGGGAGAGACAGGUGGAUCUUUGAGUUCAAGACCAGCCUGCUCUACAGAGGACGUUCCCAGGAUAGCCAAGGACACACAUAGAAACCUUGUCUUCAAGAACAACAACAAAAAAAAAUAAAGAAAAUAAAACAAAAAGAAGGGCUCUCUUUAGUUCAACCAUACUAUCUAUAACGACACCCAUAGCUCUCAUUGUCCUAAGAACACAUUUUUAUGGCAUUUGUGUUUAAGUGACAGGAUCUAGCUGAGGCUGGUUCCUUUCAGUCCAGGACAAUCUCUCUUGAACAUUUCCUAUCACAAAGCCUUGUGAAGAACCCAAGUUGUCUAUCUGUCUCAUGGAGUGUACUGCAGUCAGCAUUUGUCUGCAUGUUGCCUUACUGUCAGAUUCGGGUUAGACAUUUUUGCAAGGAUUUUACACAAGUAAUAGCUUAUGCUUCUUGUUGCCAUACUUUCAGAAAUUUGUAAUUUUGGGAAAUGUGACAAGCAUAGGUUAAAU
rnacentral:lncRNA from 1 species